rnacentral:rRNA from 1 species
AUACGGAGGGUGCAAGCGUUACUCGGAAUCACUGGGCGUAAAGCGCGCGCAGGCGGCUUGAUAAGUUGGACGUGAAAGCCUACGGCUCAACCGUAGAACUGCAUCCAAAACUGUCAGGCUAGAGUGUGGGAGAGGAAGAUGGAAUUAGUUGUGUAGGGGUAAAAUCCGUAGAGAUAACUAGGAAUACCAAAAGCGAAGGCAAUCUUCUGGAACACUACUGACGCUGAGGCGCGAAGGCGUGGGGAGCAAACAGGAUUAGAAACCCCGGUAGUCC